rnacentral:rRNA from 1 species
AUUGAACGCUGGCGGCAGGCCUAAUACAUGCAAGUCGAACGAGUGGCGGACGGGUGAGUAAUGUCUGGGAAACUGCCUGAUGGAGGGGGAUAACUACUGGAAACGGGAGCUAAUACCGCAUACCCUCAGAUGUUCCCAGAUGGGAUUAGCUUGUUGGUGGGGUAACGGCUCACCAAGGCGACGAUCCCUAGCUGGUCUGAGAGGAUGACCGGCCACACUGGGACUGAGACACGGUCCAGACUCCUACGGGAGGCAGCAGUGGGGAAUCUUGCGCAAUGGGCGCAAGCCUGAUGCAGCCAUGCCGCGUGUAUGAAGAAGGCCUUCGGAUUGUAAAGUACUUUCAGCAGGGAGGCGUUACCCGCAGAAGAAGCACCGGCUAACUCCGUGCCAGCAGCCGCGGUAAUUC